rnacentral:rRNA from 1 species
GAUGAACGCUGGCGGCGUGCCUAAUACAUGCAAGUCGAACGCACAGCGAAAGGUGCUUGCCCCUUUCACGUGAGUGGCGAACGGGUGAGUAACACGCGGACAACCUGCCUCAAGGCUGGGGAUAACAUUUGGAAACAGAUGCUAAUACCGAAUAAAACUUAGUGUCGCAUGACACAAAGUUAAAAGGCGCUUCGGCGUCACCUAGAGAUGGAUCCGCGGUGCAUUAGUUAGUUGGUGGGGUAAAGGCCUACCAAGACAAUGAUGCAUAGCCGAGUUGAGAGACUGAUCGGCCACAUUGGGACUGAGACACGGCCCAAACUCCUACGGGAGGCUGCAGUAGGGAAUCUUCCACAAUGGGCGAAAGCCUGAUGGAGCAACGCCGCGUGUGUGAUGAAGGCGUUCGGGUCGUAAAGCACUGUUGUAUGGGAAGAACAGCUAGAAUAGGAAAUGAUUUUAGUUUGACGGUACCAUACCAGAAAGGGACGGCUAAAUACGUG